rnacentral:tRNA from 1 species
AUUUAUAUAGUUUAAGUAAAAAACAUUACAUUUUCAUUGUAAACUUAUAAGCAUUUUUUAUUAUAAAUA